UCUUCCGCAAUGGACGCAAGUCUGACGGAGCAACGCCGCGUGAGUGAAGAAGGCUUUCGGGUCGUAAAACUCUGUUGCCGGGGAAGAACAAGUGCCGUGCGAACAGGGCGGUGCCUCGACGGUACCCGGCCAGAAAGCCACGGCUAACUACGUGCCACCAGCCGCGGUAAUACGUAGGUGGCAAGCGUUGUCCGGAAUUAUUGGGCGCAAAGCGCGCGCAGGCGGCUUCUUAAGUCUGAUGUGAAAUCUUGCGGCUCAACCGCAAGCGGUCAUUGGAAACUGGGAGGCUUGAGUGCAGAAGAGGAGAGUGGAAUUCCACGUGUAGCGGUGAAAUGCGUAGAGAUGUGGAGGAACACCAGUGGCGAAGGCGGCUCUCUGGUCUGUAACUGACGCUGAGGCGCGAAAGCGUGGGGAGCAAACAGG
rnacentral:rRNA from 1 species